rnacentral:rRNA from 1 species
UACAGAGGGUGCAAGCGUUAAUCGGAAUUACUGGGCGUAAAGCGUGCGUAGUCGGUUAUUUAAGUCGGAUGUGAAAUCCCCGGGCUCAACCUGGGAAUUGCAUUCGAUACUGGAUAGCUAGAGUUCGGCAGAGGGAAGCGGAAUUUCGGGUGUAGCGGUGAAAUGCGUAGAUAUCCGAAGGAACAUCAGUGGCGAAAGCGGCUUCCUGGACCAGAACUGACGAUCAGGCUCGAAAGCGUGGGGAGCAAACAGG